UCUCCCUCAGCUGAAAUCAUAUCUCACAUUCUCUCUCUAAGUCUCGAACUCUCUCUAGGCCGAGAGCUUUACCUUGCUCUCCUCUCAACCCUCUCACAAAUCGAACUCAAAAACUUGAUAUUUGGAAUCCUUGUGACUCAAGGAACUAGCCUAUACCCUGGCAUAUGCCAUCAGAGCACUAGACAAUGACCUACCAUGGAAGUCGUGAGCUUCAAGCUCUAGCCCUCAAUCUCAGGACAUAACGAGACUAAAGAGAACACCUGUGGGGACAAGUGGGCGUGGUAAUAAGGCUUCCAUCCUUUGGACUAUGAGUGAUGGCUCAUUUACUGUAGUUUUAUCUUAGUUGUAAUAAUGUAUGCAUGAUCGUACUUUUGAUUAUGCAUAGCACCACACUUUGUGUUUAUUGUUGUGUGAAACUUCUGGUUGCUUGAUCUGAUGUGAUUAAUAACGGGGUUAAACCCGAGAUAAUUUGUGUCCCCAAGUGGGGAGGAUGAUAAGUACUUAUGAAGCAGCUUUGGAUUUAUUAUUUUCAAUGAA